AAUAGACUAUAACAACAGCAAAACCUCUCUGAUGGGCGAGUUCUUCAUAACUGUGCCAGGAUCAGAUUACAGAAAAAAUAGCUAAAGCACCUGCUCCGGACUAAUGGUAGUCUGACAACAAGAGCAAUGCAAAGGCAUUCCUGGUGACAGACACUAUAUCUGCCAGCCAGUGAGUGCCGGACUAUAUAAUCCCAUUGUCCCACCACCCUGUUGUUCUGUGUCCUGUCCAUGACCAGCUACCCCAGGUUUUAUUUGUCAUCUCGGGCUCAUUGGUCCAACAAGGCAUCACGAUGGGAGAGUAAGUACAUCUUUUUUUUAAAGAUCAUUCAAAAUUACCAUACAGCUUUAUCAUGUAGACCGGGGCUAGUUGUCACACAUCAGCUCCAGUAAAUCUUUAUCACUUGACAUUUUUAUGAAAAGCAGUUCAACUUUUGGUUAAAAUCUAACUGAGUGUAUUAACUGUAUGGCAGUAAUUUUUAAUUUAAUUUUCUUGUUUGUUUAAACAACUGCUAUAGAAAUAUCUGUUUCAAACCAACAAAACCACAAAUCAAAAUUUGAAGAGUUUUGUUCCAAAACGCAAUAAAUCCAUUUUGACUAAUUUUGGUAAAAAUGUGUUUUCUAUACGAAUAAAGUGACAAGAUGAAAACCACUAUUUUCUGUUACAAACUUUAUAUAGCACUUUAGGUUAUAAUAACAUAAAAAAUUCAAAUCCAUAAUGUGAUUUUCAAAGAUUUAUUAUAAAAACGGAUUCUUUUUUUCCAAAAUGCUAUAAAUCUAUUGAAUCAAUAUAUAAAUGUGCAUUCAUCUUUGCCAUGUUAUAUUCAUUUAGUUAACUAGUGGUAAUGGCAUUAAUCAUAACACUUACUUUGUCAUAUUAAGAACACUGUCAUUGCUGCUGUCAUCCCUGAACUUUUUUGACAGCGAUCAGCUCUAAAAUGUUUUGGCCAUGCUUGAUUUUGUUGACUUCGAGUAAAAUAAAUGAACUUUUUUAUAAGAUCCCCUGGGGUCAAUGUGUUUACAGUACAUGACAGAAACUUGAUGCUGUCUGUGAGAAUAAGCAACAGCAGGCAUUUUUCCGUCGGCCUGAGUGCCUCUCAUGUAAAUUAUUAGAUUUUAAUGGCUUACAUUUCUUCCCCGCAACAGAAAACCACCACAGGUUUAUCAAUGCCAUUAAAGUAUUAUUUUGUUUUUGUUUGUUUAUUGAUCACGAAGCACAAAGUAGAUGAGGAAAACUAGGAUUCUGUGUGUAUUCAAUGCGCCGCUAUUCUUGUUUACAGUGCGUAGAAUUGUGUUCUGUGAUUUGUUGAGUAGAUUUAUUGAAUUCUGCAGAGAAGGAGGACUGGCGUUUAUCGCGUUUUGGGAAAAAGGGAGAAAAGAUGACAGAAUAACACGAUGGAUAUCCAAUUUUUCGUAAAAUUAAGAAAUUACUUUUUAAUACUGACCUGAUACAAUACUGAUUUUGGUGAUAACGAAUAAUAAAAAAAUGAAGUUUUAUCGCGUUUUUGAACCAAACUCUUCAUUUGUUAGACGUUUGUGUCAAUAUGAGUUUAGUAAUGUGAUAUUAAAAUAUAUCCUGUGUGAUAACUAGCCUCAUUCAUCCUUAUAAUGUCCACAUUAUAAAAUGUAACAUCAAUGCAAGCCAAAAUCAAUUUAUUUUGUGAGUCCACAUGAAAUGUCCUUGAUAUGUAAUGACAAAUUAUAUUUGUGGUAAGUGACAGCUGAUGCCUGAUAUGAAUAAGAUCAUGCCCCUCAAAUAGCAUUUUAUUACACAUUGAUUAUUUAAUGCAAACAAACUUUAAACAAAAACCUUGAUCACUUUUUAAUGACUUUCUUAUUGUUUGUUUUCUA